UCGGCGGCCACCGAUCUGCUUCCUGGGGUUUCCUUUCGCUUUCCUAAAAUCGCCUUCCCUCCCAGCUGGCUUUUUUCCUUGACGAUCCCGGCUAAAGGAAAAGCGCUUUAGGAACGGAAGUGCCGCAUCUCCUCCAGGCAGGAUUCCCUCCCAUCCAUGAUGCUGAAGUCCUUGAGAAGCAGAGGAGGGGGCAGCCUCUUUCGACUGCUGGGGGUCACGCCCGGGCUCCAAGUUGGCAUUUUGCCCACCAACAGGUCCUGCUCUUCCAGAGAGUGCCCUCCUUCAGCCACCAAAGCCACCGGGAUUAAGAAACGGGGCUAUGACAUCACCAGGAAUCCCCAACUCAACAAGGGUAUGGCCUUCACCCUUCAAGAGAGGCUCCAGCUGGGAAUACACGGUCUUCUUCCACCGUGCUUCCUGAGCCAAGAUGUACAAGUUCUACGGGUCCUGAAAAGCUACGAGACCAAAUCCAAUGAUCU